rnacentral:lncRNA from 1 species
GGCCACCUAAGAUGGAAGAAGCCAUGAGAUGAGUAAGCGUUGCCUACUCACAAGGUUGCAAACUGUCCUUCACUUACGAUUAUCCCCCAACGCCCCCUCCUAAAUCUGAUCAAUCGCAUGGAACUUGAUGGUUACAAAAGACAGAGCUAACAACUAGCUACCUUGCAGGAACGGGAACGUCAUUCUGAGGGUAGUCCACAUGCAAGUGUUCUAAAGUUGACAUCACUGCUUCAUCAUUCACCUCAUUUUCCCAGAACAGAAGCACCAAGAAAAUUAUCACCAUUAUUAUCAUCAGAGAUUAAGAAGCAGCAAUGCCCCUCUUGUGGCAAGAGUUGGCAGCGUGCGGUUGGUAUGUCAAUGCAUCCAAGGUCCAAGGGCCUGGAUUGUCUGCCAAAUGCUUGGGAGUUGUUUGAUCAGGUUGACAUGCUCCAACAGCAUUGUGGACUGGGCCCACACCUACGCU